rnacentral:rRNA from 1 species
AGUGAACGCUGGCGGUAUGCCUAACACAUGCAAGUCGAACGGCAGCACAGUAAGAUCUUGCUCUUACGGGUGGCGAGUGGCGGACGGGUGAGGAAUACAUCGGAAUCCACUUUUUCGUGUGGGAUAACGUAGGGAAACUUACGCUAAUACCGCAUACGACCUACGGUUGAAAGCAGUGGAUCUUCGCACCUUGCGCGAUUGAAUUAGCCGAUGACGGAUUAGCUAGUUGGCGGGGUAAAGGCCCACCAAGGCGACGAUCCGUAGCUGGACUGAGAGGAUGAUCAGCCACACUGGAAGUGAGACACGGUCCAGACUCCUACGGGAGGCAGCAGUGGGGAAUAUUGGACAAUGGGCGCAAGCCUGAUCCAGCCAUACCGCGUGGGUGAAGAAGGCCUUCGGGUUGGAAAGACCUUUUGUUGGGAAAGAAAAGCAGCAGGUUAAUACCCCGCUGUUCUGACGGUACCCAAAGAAUAAGCACCGGCUAACUUCGUG